GAAGCGGCAACAGCUCAAAUUUGAAAUCUGACCCUUUGGGGUCCGAGUUGUAAUUUGCAGAGGGUGUUUCGGGCACGGUGCCGGUUUAAGUCCUUUGGAACAGGGUGUCAUAGAGGGUGAGAACCCCGUAUGUGACCGGUCGCCAAACCUAUGUGAAACCCCUUCGACGAGUCGAGUUGUUUGGGAAUGCAGCUCAAAAUGGGUGGUAAAUUUCAUCUAAAGCUAAAUAUUGGCCAGAGACCGAUAGCGCACAAGUAGAGUGAUCGAAAGAUGAAAAGCACUUUGGAAAGAGAGUCAAACAGCACGUGAAAUUGUUGAAAGGGAAGCGCUUGCGACCAGACCUGCUCGCGGGUGAUCAGCGGUGCUUUUCGCGCCGUGCACUCAUCCGCGAUCAGGCCAGCAUCGGUUCAGGCGGCCGGACAAAGACUCGGAGAAUGUAGCUCCCUCCGGGGAGUGUUUAUAGCUCCUCGUGCAAUACGGCCAGCCGGGACCGAGGACCGCGC
rnacentral:rRNA from 1 species